GAAACACCCAUCAGCUAGAUUUCACAGUUAACAUUUUGCUAUAUAUAUUUCAUCUACUUGUUUUUUGCCAAAAUAUCUUUAAGUAAAUUAAAAACUCAUGAAAUCCUCAAGCCUAAAUACUUUAUAACAUAUCUUUAAAAGUAAUAAUAAUGACAUUUUUCUGCAUAACCACAACACUAUUAUUACACCUAAUAAAAUCUUUGUCAUAUCUUAGAAAAUAAUUUUUACUAUCUGUUUUUUUUUUUUUUUUUUUGGAGAAUAGUGAAUAUAUUUACAUAAAUCAAAAUCCAAAAGGAACGAAAGUGCACCCGGUUAAGGGGAAGUCUUCCUGCCAUUCCUGAGCCUGGUCCCAGGCCCUGCCCUAGUUUCCCGUGUAGCUUUCUAGAAUAGUCCAUGCACAGAAUCAUUUAUAUAUAAAGAAAAUAUAAGCACAGUGAAGUCAGAGACUUGUUCACCACUGAAUCCUUAGACCUAAAAUAAUGCCCAGCACUCACAUAUUUUUUUGAAUAAAUAAUUUUUUUUUUUUUUUUUGAGACAGAGUCUCACACUGUCGCCCAGGCUGGAGUGCAGUGGCGCCAUCUUGGCUCACUGCAACCUCCACCUCCUGGGUUCAAGCGAUUCUCCUGCCUCAGCCUUCCGAGUAGCUGGGAUUACAGGUGUGCACCACCAUGCCUGGCUAAUUUUUGUAUUUCUAGUAGAGACAGUGUUUCAACAUGUUGGCCAGGCUGGUCUCGAACUCCUGACCUCCAGUCAUCCACCCGCGUCAACCUCCCAAAGUGCUGGAAUUACAGGCAUGAGCCACUGGGCCUGGCCAGAAUAAAUGAAUUUUUAAUCAGUGGUUAUAUGCUAUAAUACUGUUUGUACUUCACUAUUUUUUUUACUUGUUUCCAAAUCAGUUCUUGUGAGCUGCCUCAUUCUUUUUAGUAGCUGCAAAAUACUCUUAUGUGAGACUGAACUAUGAUUUAUGUAACAAGUCUCCUACGGAUACACAUUUGUGUUUUUCCAACAUUCUGCUAUUAACAACGCUGUAAUAAAUAUCCUUGUACAAGGCCAGGCAUGGUGGCUCACACCUGUAAUCCCAGCACUCUGGGAGGCAGACACGAGUUCAAGACCAGACUGGGCAACAUGGUGAAACCCCGUCUCUACAAAAAAUAUAAAAAAUUAGCCAGGAAUAGUGGAGUGUGCCUGUAGGCCCAGCUACUCAGGAGGCUUGGGUGGGAGGAUCACCAGAGCCCAGGAAGUCAAGGCUGCAGUGAGUCGUGAUUGCGCCACUGCAUUCCAGUCUGGGCGACAGAGUGAGAUCCUGUCUCAAAAAAAAAAAAAAGAAAAAAAAGAAAGAAAAGAAAGAAGAAAAGGAAGGAAGGAAGGAAGGGAGGGAGGGAAGGAAGGAAAGGAAGGUACAUUUCGGGGCACGGUGGCUCACACCUGUAAUCCCAACAACUUGUAAGACUGAGAUGGGAAUUCAAGACCAAGACCAGCCUGGGCAACACAGCAAGACCCCAUCUCUAAAAAUAAACACAUAAAUGCUGCUGCUGCUUUUUUUUUUUUUUUAAGGUGCAUUUGGCUCAUAAACGUCACAGGCUUUGUCCGUAAAAAAGGAGAAAUGUUUGUUCCCUGUCUGCUUUCUCUUUUCACUUAGGGGUUCUCAAGUGUGGGUGUGGACCCUCCACCAAAAUACCUAACACUGGGUGCACUAUAAAUGCUUGUUUGAUGAAUGAUGUUGUUGGCAGUGCACCCCAGAGGUCCCAUUUUUCACAUAUGAGGAACCACUCCUAAUUAUUUAGCCCAGGAUAUGAUUCAUCUAGGUGAAAACCCUUUCCAAACAGAUUGCCACACCUGUGAUUCUUCGCUCUUGGGAAAAGACAGAGUAAAAGAGCAAAGUUUUGUGAGAGGUUGGGAGGUGGCGGUGGUAGCAGGGACGGAGCCGUGGAGGAGCAGGUGCAGAGGUGCAGAGAGAAGCCCCGUUCACCCAACCUGGGUGAGUUCCCUGCACAGAAGAGGCCUCGUGGGCAGCUUAGCUUUUGACAGUAAAGAUGCCUACAGCAGGAAAAAAACGGGGAUGAGCUGUGGGCAGAGAGGCGUGAAGUCAGGAAACACAGGAUCUAGCCCAGCUCUGACGGUGACGAGCCAGUGAGCCCUUGAUCUCCCUAGCCUCAGGCUCCUCAUCUGAUCUGUGGAGGUCGAACCUGGAUGUUUUCCAAAGUUGGUUUUAGGUAAAACAGUUUGAAAUUGUAUGGCCAGCUUCAAUUAUAUAAAUAUUUUAAAUUUCUAUAUGAAGAUAGCACCAACAAAGUUACAGGGCAAGCAAAGAUCCAAAGAUUGGAAACAGUGUCUCCCUCAAAUGGGGAACAGUUAAAUAAAUGAUGGUGUCCCUGUAGCUACCCACUGGAAUAUCAUGCAGUGGUAAAAAGAAAGCAGAGGCUCUUUACAUACUGAUAAGGAACAAUCUUCAACUCACAGGUAAAUAAGAUAGUAAGGUGCAGGCUGGGGGCAGUGGCUCAUGCCUGUAAUCCCAGCACUUUGAGAGGCUGAGGCUGGCAGAUCACCUGAGGUCAGGAGUUUGAGACCAGCCUGGCCAACAUGGCAAAACCCCGUCUCUACUAAAAAUACAAAAAUCAGCCGGGCGUGGUGGCGGGCACCUGUAGUCCCAGCUACUCAGGAGGCUGAGGCAGGAGAAUCUCUUGAACCCAGGAGGUGGAGGUUGCAGUGAGCUGAGAUUGCGCCACUGCACUCCAGCCUGGGUGACAGUAAUAUCGGCUGCUUUCAGAGAGGAAAGCUGGUGACUAGAGAACAGAAGGUGGGCGAGGGGAAACUUCUUAUUGGAUACUCCUUUGUACCUUUCACAC
rnacentral:lncRNA from 10 species